rnacentral:rRNA from 1 species
UACAGAGGGUGCGAGCGUUAAUCGGAAUUACUGGGCGUAAAGGGUGCGUAGGUGGUGACAUAAGUAACAGGUGAAAGUCCCGAGCUUAACUUGGGGAUUGCCUGUUAAACUGUGUCGCUAGAGUGUUGUAGAGGAGAGCGGAAUUUCCGGUGUAGCGGUGAAAUGCGUAGAUAUCGGAAGGAACAUCAGUGGCGAAGGCGGCUCUCUGGACAACAUCUGACACUGAGGCACGAAAGCGUGGGGAGCAAACAGG